CUCGCUAUAGCUCAGUUGGUAGAGCGGUGGACUGUAGUUGGUUCAGUCAUCCAUCGGUCCUUGGUUCGACUCCGAGUGGCGAGA